rnacentral:rRNA from 1 species
UGCCUACGGGACGCAGCAGUGGGGAAUAUUGCACAAUGGGGGAAACCCUGAUGCAGCGACGCCGCGUGAGUGAAGAAGUAUUUCGGUAUGUAAAGCUCUAUCCGCAGGAACGAGACAAGACGGUACCUGACUAAGAAGCCCCGGCUAACUACGUGCCAGCAGCCGCGGUAAUACGUAGGGGGCAAGCGUUAUCCGGAUUUACUGGGUGUAAAGGGUGCGUAGGUGGCAGGGCAAGUCAGAUGUGAAAGCCCGGGGCCCAACCCCGGUACUGCAUUUGAAACUGUCCGGCUGGAGUGCAGGAGAGG